CAGUCGCCACGGUAAUACGUAGGGUGCGAGCGUUAAUCGGAAUUACUGGGCGUAAAGCGUGCGCAGGCGGUUGUGUAAGACAGGUGUGAAAUCCCCGGGCUUAACCUGGGAACUGCGCUUGUGACUGCACAGCUAGAGUAUGGCAGAGGGGGGUGGAAUUCCACGUGUAGCAGUGAAAUGCGUAGAGAUGUGGAGGAACACCGAUGGCGAAGGCAGCCCCCUGGGCCAAUACUGACGCUCAUGCACGAAAGCGUGGGGAGCAAACAGGAUUAGAUACCCCGUAGUCCCUGUCUCUUAUACA
rnacentral:rRNA from 1 species